rnacentral:rRNA from 1 species
GUGGGGAAUAUUGGACAAUGGGCGCAAGCCUGAUCCAGCAAUGCCGCGUGGGUGAAGAAGGCCUUCGGGUUGUAAAGCCCUUUUGUACGGAAAGAAAUCCUGGUGGUUAAUACCCGCCGGGGAUGACGGUACCGUAAGAAUAAGCACCGGCUAACUUCGUGCCAGCAGCCGCGGUAAUACGAAGGGUGCAAGCGUUAAUCGGAAUUACUGGGCGUAAAGCGUGCGUAGGUGGUUUCUUAAGUCUGUCGUGAAAGCCCUGGGCUCAACCUGGGAAUGGCGAUGGAUACUGGGAGGCUAGAGUGCGGUAGAGGAUGGCGGAAUUCCCGGUGUAGCGGUGAAAUGCGUAGAGAUCGGGAGGAACAUCUGUGGCGAAGGCGGCCAUCUGGACCAGCACUGACACUGAGGCACGAAAGCGUGGGGAGCAAACAGGAUUAGAUACCCUUGUAGUCC